rnacentral:SRP_RNA from 1 species
GCCGGGUAUGGUGGCCCAUGCCAGUAAUCCCUAUGACUAGAGGAGGCUGAGGCUAGUGGAUUGUUCGAGUUUGGGAGUUCUGAGCUGCAGUGGGGAUAAUUCCAAUCAGGUCUAGCAUCAAUACUGUGAACCCCUGGGAAUGGGGGGAUGACCAGGCUGCCUAAGAAGGGGUAAAAAGAACCAGAUCAGAAAUGGAACAGGUCAGAGCUCCCAUAUCCAUCAGCAAUGAAGUCAGGCCAGUGUGGGCACUGCAUUUCCAGACUAAACAAGAUAAGAGGAA